rnacentral:rRNA from 1 species
UACGUAGGUGGCGAGCGUUGUCCGGAUUUACUGGGCGUAAAGCGCGCGCAGGCGGCAGUCUAAGUCCUCUGUGAAAUCACCCGGCUCAACUGGGUGGCUGCGGAGGAGACUGGGCAGCUUGAGGGGCCUAGAGGCCGGUGGAACUCCCGGUGUAGUGGUGAAAUGCGUAGAGAUCGGGAAGAACACCAGUGGCGAAGGCGGCCGGCUGGGGGCACCCUGGACGCUGGAGGCGCGAGAGCGUGGGGGAGCAAACCGG